rnacentral:rRNA from 1 species
CAGUCGCCGCGGUAAUACGUAGGUGGCAAGCGUUGUCCGGAAUGAUUGGGCGUAAAGGGAGUGUAGGCGGUCUUUUAAGUCUGAUGUGAAAGCCCACGGCUCAACCGUGGAGGGUCAUUGGAACCUGGGAGACUUGAGUGCAGAAGAGGAGAGCGGAAUUCCAUGUGUAGCGGUGAAAUGCGUAGAUAUAUGGAGGAACACCAGUGGCGAAGGCGGCUCUCUGGUCUGUAACUGACGCUGAGGCUCGAAAGCGUGGGGAGCAAACAGGAUUAGAUACCCGAGUAGUCCCUGUCUCUUAUAC